UGUCAAGACCGGGAAUCGAACCCGGGUCAACUGCUUGGAAGGCAGCUAUGCUAACCAUUAUACCACCGUCGC
rnacentral:tRNA from 1 species